rnacentral:rRNA from 1 species
UACGAAGGGGGCUAGCGUUGCUCGGAAUCACUGGGCGUAAAGCGCACGUAGGCGGCUUUCUAAGUCAGGGGUGAAAUCCUGGAGCUCAACUCCAGAACUGCCUUUGAUACUGGAGAGCUUGAGUCCGGAAGAGGUGAGUGGAACUCCGAGUGUAGAGGUGAAAUUCGUAGAUAUUCGGAAGAACACCAGUGGCGAAGGCGGCUCACUGGUCCGGUACUGACGCUGAGGUGCGAAAGUGCGGGGAUCAAACAGG